UGCAAGUCGAACGAGAAAGUUUUCCUUCGGGAGAGCGAGUACAGUGGCGGACUGGUGAGUAACGCGUAGGUAAUCUACCUUUAAGUGGGGGAUAGCCCUCGGAAACGGGGAUUAAUACCGCAUGUGUUCCUUCGGGAAUAAAGGUGGCCUCUGAUAUAAGCUGUCGCUUAAAGAUGAGCCUGCGUCCCAUUAGUUAGUUGGUGUGGUAAUGGCGCACCAAGACGAUGAUAGGUAGGCGUCCUUAACGGGUGGUCGCCCACACUGGGAUUGAGAUACUGCCCAGACUCCUACGGGAGGCAGCAGUCGAGAAUAGUCUACAAUGGACGAAAGUCUGAUAGUGCAACGCCGCGUGGGUGAUGAAGCAUUUCGGUGUGUAAAACCCUUUUCUUUGUGAGCAAUGCCACUAUGUUUAAGAAAUGUAGUGGAGAGAUAUUAGCAGAGGAAUAAGCCACGGCUAACUCCGUGCCAGCAGCCGCGGUAACACGGGGGUGGCGAGCGUUGUCCGGAAUCACUAGGCGUAAAGGGCAAGUAGGCGGAAUAUCAGGUCAUUUGUUAAAGGCAUUGGCUCAACCAAUGUACGGCAUAUGAUACUGGUAUCCUAGAAUUUGGUAGUGGAAGACGGAAUUCCUGGUGUA
rnacentral:rRNA from 1 species